rnacentral:sRNA from 10 species
AUUGAAGAAAAAGCGUGGGAUUUCAAGGGAUUAAGCUAAUAAAGGUGGUGAGCCCUCUAACAAGGCUAAAGAGAUUAUGCCCAAAGACUGAGAAUAGGAGUAUAUCGAACUCCUAGUACAGGGGUUUCUGUGGACCAGCCUUUUAAAGGGGUA